CCUGUCACUUCUAUAGGCCAAUA
rnacentral:miRNA from 12 species